rnacentral:rRNA from 1 species
UGAAUCGCAGAUAUUCGUGAAUCAUCGAAUCUUUGAACGCACAUUGCGCCCUCUGGUAUUCCGGAGGGCAUGCCUGUUUGAGCGUCGUU